GCUGCUUUGUCUGCCAGUGCCGUGUGUUGUCAUGUCGCUCACGCCAAGCACCUGCUGGCUGCUGGAAGCAUACCCCAAGACCCCAAGCCUGACUCCAGCUGUGCCCACAGGAAGUCCAGUCCCAACAGUGCCCUUGUUGCCUUUGAGCCAGACCCAAGGCAAGGGUCUCCGCACAGACCGCAGGGCUGAGUCUGGAGAGAGAAGUCGCUUGACUAAUGCCACUUGUCAGGACAGUAUGUGAGUGUCUGGAGACAGCAUAGUUGACCCCAAUGCCCCAGAACUGAGGACCCCUCCAGGCCCCUCUCUUCUGGAAGUGCUGCAUAUGCCCCCAUGCCCCGUGGUUGACGACACCACCGCCUCCUGCCUACCCGUGGGCCCAAGUUUCUGCGGCUCGUUACAGGGUGUCUGGCCCCUGCCACCCAGCAUAGACACACCUCACAGCUGCCCUGCCAUGCAGAGCCCUGGCCCUGGAGACUCUUAAGCCCUCCACAGCCCUCCAGGUCCUCCAGCUCAGAUGGAGGGCUCUCAGGGGUGUGGCCUGGGCCUAAAUCCCACUGGUAGGCCUGAUGGCUGGCAGCACAAUGUGUGCUCUGGGAAUAAACAGCUGCCCUAGACCCAGAGGGAUCUCCGCACCCAGGAAGCCUCCUGACACCAGCCUAAAUCCUGACAGUAGGGUCUGCCCUCUGAGUGUGGGGAGCCCCUAGUCCUUUAAGGUUGGCUGCUACGGCCUGUGCUCCAAAGCAAUGGGCAGGAGCAGCCUGCAGCUACCCACCCAACCUGGUCUUCACACGAGGUUGCACGUGAUACUGGGCCUCUUUUAUCUUGACGGAGAAGAGGGAUUCCUGCCUAGGAUCUUACAACACAGCAAGUAGCAUAGAGCUCUUUCCUUCCUCUUUUUUUUUUUUUUUCUUUGGUUGGGGUCAGGGGUUGUUUGAGAUUUAAGUUUUCAUUUUUGAGGGGUAAUCACCUUCAAGUAUAACAGUAAUCGUAAGAGUGAAGGUACUUUGGAACCACUAACACCUCUGCACAGGGCAGUUAGCCAGCUCAAGUUCUUUUUCAGAGAAAGGGACUUGGCCAGCGGUUUAAGUAUCUGCCCCUUCACCUCACAGACGAGGCAGCUGGCCCAGUCUGGGGAAGCUGCCCAGGACAAUGGUGGAGCUGGGUCUUGAACCCCAGUCUGUACCUAAAAAACUAAGGGAAAUUGAUCAUUUUCAAAGGGGCAACAGUGAUACCAUCCCUGCACUCCUGGGUCCUGCUCUUAUAGUGCCCAAGGCAGGGCAUGGUGGCAGCUGGCCCCUCCCCCACCAGGUGACUCUGGGGGCAGAGGUGGGCUCUGUUUAGGAGGGCGGUCAGACCACCCAGCCAAAUUGCUCCUCAACCCUAGACAAAGCCUUUGGCCAAGAGGGAGGUGCUGUUAGCUGGGCAGCCCUUCUGGGUUUCAGAGACUGGUGUUGGCUCCAGACUGGUCUCAUCUCCAUUGCCUUAAUGCCAGGUGGCCCAGGAGUACCCAUGCACAGCAGCUGUGGGGUGUGGGCAUCUUCAGGAGGUGUUCUGGUAAAAUUGUGAGAAUAGCUGUGUGAAGGAAACCAGUGGAAGGAAAUGAAGUUUUCAGGAUGACGGGAUGUGAUUCAGACACAGCGCACAUGCUGUUAGGGCUGUCACUAGGGAGUGGCCUUCAUGGAGGGUGGUAACAGCACCUCAGUCCAUCCAAGAUGUUUAGAAACACUCAGUCUCUGGUCCCAGAGGAUGGCUUCUCAGGGCACACCACAAGUUAAAGGUCACCUGCCUGGAAGAUGAAUGAGAAAGCUGCCCGUUCUGAAGACCCAUCUGCCUAGGGAGGGUCGCAGAGGCAGGAUGUAAGCCACACUGUGUUGCAUUCUUGCACAAGUCAUGAAAAUGCGGCCAGAGAGAGAGCCUGGACAUCGGGGACUUUUGCCCACAGCACAUGACACCCACAGCUGCCCAGCCCGUCCACGUGCUGGGGACCAGCACAGCACCUGAAGCCAUGUGCGACAGUGGGCUUUGUUCAUUCUAGCCACAGGGGGAUGAAAGGGAUCUUUUGCAUUGCAGAGAUUUUAUAUAUAUUUUGUUUGUAACGAGCCAUUCUCAAUAAACAUUAUUCUCACUGCAAAA